GGGUUGUGAGGUUAAGCGACUAAGCGUACACGGUGGAUGCCCUGGCAGUCAGAGGCGAUGAAGGGCGUGCUAAUCUGCGAUAAGCGCCGGUAAGGUGAUAUGAACCGUUAUAACCGGCGAUACCCGAAUGGGGAAACCCAGUGUGAUUCGUCACACUAUCAUUAACUGAAUCCAUAGGUUAAUGAGGCGAACCGGGGGAACUGAAACAUCUAAGUACCCCGAGGAAAAGAAAUCAACCGAGAUUCCCCCAGUAGCGGCGAGCGAACGGGGAGGAGCCCAGAGCCUGAAUCAGCAUGUGUGUUAGUGGAAGCGUCUGGAAAGGCGCGCGAUACAGGGUGACAGCCCCGUACACAAAAGCGCAUGUGCUGUGAGCUCGAUGAGUAGGGCGGGACACGUGGUAUCCUGUCUGAAUAUGGGGGGACCAUCCUCCAAGGCUAAAUACUCCUGACUGACCGAUAGUGAACCAGUACCGUGAGGGAAAGGCGAAAAGAACCCCGGCGAGGGGAGUGAAAAAGAACCUGAAACCGUGUACGUACAAGCAGUGGGAGCACCCUUUGGGUGUGACUGCGUACCUUUUGUAU
rnacentral:rRNA from 1 species